rnacentral:rRNA from 1 species
UACGGGGGGGGCAAGCGUUGUUCGGAAUUACUGGGCGUAAAGGGCUCGUAGGCGGCCAACUAAGUCAGACGUGAAAUCCCCAGGCUCAACCUGGGAACUGCGUCUGAUACUGGAUGGCUUGAAUCCGGGAGAGGGGUGCAGAAUUCCAGGUGUAGCGGUGAAAUGCGUAGAGAUGCGGAGGAACACCAGUGGCGAAAGCGGCUUUCUGGUCCUUAACUGACGCUGAGGCGCGAAAGCAUGGGGAGCGAACGGG